UAAUACGUAGGUGGCAAGCGUUGUCCGGAUUUAUUGGGCGUAAAGCGCGCGCAGGCGGUCCUUUAAGUCUGAUGUGAAAUCUUGCGGCUCAACCGCAAGCGGUCAUUGGAAACUGGGGGACUUGAGUGCAGAAGAGGAAAGCGGAAUUCCACGUGUAGCGGUGAAAUGCGUAGAGAUGUGGAGGAACACCAGUGGCGAAGGCGGCUUUCUGGUCUGUAACUGACGCUGAGGCGCGAAAGCGUGGGGAGCAAACAGGAUUAGAUACCCUGGUAGUCCACGCCGUAAACGAUGAGUGCUAAGUGUUGGAGGGUUUCCGCCUUUCAGUGCUGUAGCUAACGCAUUAAGCACUCCGCCUGGGGAGUACGGUCGCAAGACUGAA
rnacentral:rRNA from 1 species